UCUUCCGACUCGGGAGGACGUAAAAGGGGAUUUCGGAGACGACCGAUCGGAGGAGGCGAUGGCGGAGGAGAAGGGGAAGACGGGGAGAGACGAACUCGCACAGUCGUUAGAGGAUGUCUUCAUUAACGUCUCCACCAUGAUCAAGAGCGAGCUUCAGGGUACAAAUAAUCAACUCUUGCUUCUGGAGACAAUGAACCAGAGAGUAGCUGAGGAAUACGAUGGCUACGGAGAUGUUGCAUCCGGUUUAAGACUCUUGAGUACGCCCAGCAAAUUGAGAAGAUAGACCAGCAGGUUACUGAGUUUGAGGCUGUUGUAUCGAAUAUCGAUGCUUGAUAAAUAUGUUUCUUUGUUGGAAAACAAACUGCAAUCUGCAUUACUUCAUGAUAUAAAGAAACUACAAUCUGCAUCUCUUCA